rnacentral:rRNA from 1 species
UUACCGAGUUCCAGACUCCAAACCCCCUGUGAACACACGCGCGUUGCCUCGGCGUUCCGCCCCGGUGCCACCGAGCCCGGACCGUCCGCCGGAGAACCCAGACCCUCUGUCCAGCGAGUAUCGGCGUACAGGCAAGCAAAUGAAUCAAAACUUUCAACAACGGAUCUCUUGGUUCUGGCAUCGAUGAAGAACGCAGCGAAAUGCGAUAAGUAAUGUGAAUUGCAGAAUUCAGUGAAUCAUCGAAUCUUUGAACGCACAUUGCGCCCGCCAGCACUCUGGCGGGCAUGCCUGUCCGAGCGUCAUUUCCACCCUCGAGCCCGCCUCGGUGCUGGGGGACGGCCCCGCGCCGCCCCCGAAAUGCAGUGGCGACCCCGCCGCGGCCUCCCCUGCGCAGUAGCUCACAGAGAACCUCGCACCGGACGCGCGGAGGCGGUCACGCCGUGAAACGCCCCCACGAGUUGACCUCGGAUCAGGUAGGGAUACCCGCUGAACUUAAGCAU